UGCGUGUGUAGAUGUGUGUGCGUGUAUGUGUGCGUGUAUGUGUGCAUGUAUGUGUGCGUGUGCGUGUAGGUGUGCGU
rnacentral:miRNA from 10 species